rnacentral:rRNA from 1 species
AUCGCUGUGAUGCGGGCGGUUCGCCGCCCGUGACUCUGCGAGAAGUCCAUUGAACCUUAUCAUUUAGAGGAAGGAGAAGUCGUAACAAGGUUUCCGUAGGUGAACCUGCGGAAGGAUCAUUGUCGAGACCGAAAUACAUCGAGCGAUUUUGAGAACUCGUUAAAAUAAGAGGUGGCUGUUGCUGCUGCGAUAAAAUCCAUCUCUGUCGUUGCCUCAUCCCCUCUUUGGUGCGGGGGCGCGAUGAAGGAUGGAUGAACACUCAAACCGGCGCAGCAUCGCGCCAAGGGAAUAUCGAAAACAAGCCCUCAAUGGGUAUUAUGGCUUGGUGUGCUUUUGCAUACUAUAUGUAUUGACACGACUCUCGGCAAUGGAUAUCUCGGCUCUCGCAUCGAUGAAGAGCGCAGCGAAAUGCGAUACGUGGUGCGAAUUGCAGAAUCCCGCGAACCAUCGAGUCUUUGAACGCAAGUUGCGCCCGAGGCCAACCGGCCAAGGGCACGUCCGCCUGGGCGUCGAUCGUUACGUCGCUCCGUGUCAAUGCCCCCCAUCGUAGCAUGGGUUGGCGAUGGCUCGGACGUGCAUAGUGGCUCGUCGCGCCCCCCGGCGCGGCGGGCUGAAGAGCGGUUCAUCAUCUCGUUGGCUGCGAACAAUAAGGGGUGGAUUAAAGUGAGGCCUAUGUUAUUGUGACGUGCAUGCCUAGAAGAUGAUAAUGCUUUUUUGGUGAUCCCAAAUCAUGCGCCGAUCCAUGGAUGGCGUUUUGAAUGCGACCCCAGGAUGGGCGAGGCCACCCGCCGAGUUUAAGCAUAUCAAUAAGCGGAGGAGAAGAAACUUAGCGAG